GGAUGAACGCUAGCUACAGGCUUAACACAUGCAAGUCGAGGGGCAGCAUUUUAGUUUGCUUGCAAACUAAAGAUGGCGACCGGCGCACGGGUGAGUAACACGUAUCCAACCUGCCGAUAACUCGGGGAUAGCCUUUCGAAAGAAAGAUUAAUAUCCGAUAGUAUAUUAAAACCGCAUGGUUUUACUAUUAAAGAAUUUCGGUUAUCGAUGGGGAUGCGUUCCAUUAGUUUGUUGGCGGGGUAACGGCCCACCAAGACUACGAUGGAUAGGGGUUCUGAGAGGAAGGUCCCCCACAUUGGAACUGAGACACGGUCCAAACUCCUACGGGAGGCAGCAGUGAGGAAUAUUGGUCAAUGGACGAGAGUCUGAACCAGCCAAGUAGCGUGAAGGAUGACUGCCCUAUGGGUUGUAAACUUCUUUUAUAUGGGAAUAAAGUAUUCCACGUGUGGGAUUUUGUAUGUACCAUAUGAAUAAGGAUCGGCUAACUCCGUGCCAGCAGCCGCGGUAAUACGGAGGAUCCGAGCGUUAUCCGGAUUUAUUGGGUUUAAAGGGAGCGUAGGUGGAUUGUUAAGUCAGUUGUGAAAGUUUGCGGCUCAACCGUAAAAUUGCAGUUGAAACUGGCAGUCUUGAGUACAGUAGAGGUGGGCGGAAUUCGUGGUGUAGCGGUGAAAUGCUUAGAUAUCACGAAGAACUCCGAUUGCGAAGGCAGCUCACUAGACUGCAACUGACACUGAUGCUCGAAAGUGUGGGUAUCAAACAGGAUUAGAUACCCUGGUAGUCCACACAGUAAACGAUGAAUACUCGCUGUUUGCGAUAUACAGUAAGCGGCCAAGCGAAAGCAUUAAGUAUUCCACCUGGGGAGUACGCCGGCAACGGUGAAACUCAAAGGAAUUGACGGGGGCCCGCACAAGCGGAGGAACAUGUGGUUUAAUUCGAUGAUACGCGAGGAACCUUACCCGGGCUUAAAUUGCAUUUGAAUAAUCUGGAAACAGGUUAGCCGCAAGGCAAAUGUGAAGGUGCUGCAUGGUUGUCGUCAGCUCGUGCCGUGAGGUGUCGGCUUAAGUGCCAUAACGAGCGCAACCCUUAUCUUUAGUUACUAACAGGUCAUGCUGAGGACUCUAGAGAGACUGCCGUCGUAAGAUGUGAGGAAGGUGGGGAUGACGUCAAAUCAGCACGGCCCUUACGUCCGGGGCUACACACGUGUUACAAUGGGGGGUACAGAAGGCAGCUACCUGGCGACAGGAUGCUAAUCCCAAAAACCUCUCUCAGUUCGGAUCGAAGUCUGCAACCCGACUUCGUGAAGCUGGAUUCGCUAGUAAUCGCGCAUCAGCCAUGGCGCGGUGAAUACGUUCCCGGGCCUUGUACACACCGCCCGUCAAGCCAUGAAAGCCGGGGGUACCUGAAGUACGUAACCGCAAGGAGCGUCCUAGGGUAAAACUGGUAAUUGGGGC
rnacentral:rRNA from 1 species